rnacentral:rRNA from 1 species
AUUGAACGCUGGCGGCAGGCCUAACACAUGCAAGUCGAGCGGAUGAAGGGAGCUUGCUCCUGGAUUCAGCGGCGGACGGGUGAGUAAUGCCUAGGAAUCUGCCUGGUAGUGGGGGAUAACGUCCGGAAACGGGCGCUAAUACCGCAUACGUCCUGAGGGAGAAAGUGGGGGAUCUUCGGACCUCACGCUACCAGAUGAGCCUAGGUCGGAUUAGCUAGUUGGUGGGGUAAAGGCCUACCAAGGCGACGAUCCGUAACUGGUCUGAGAGGAUGAUCAGUCACACUGGAACUGAGACACGGUCCAGACUCCUACGGGAGGCAGCAGUGGGGAAUAUUGGACAAUGGGCGAAAGCCUGAUCCAGCCAUGCCGCGUGUGUGGAGAAGGUCUUCGGAUUGUAAAGCACUUUAAGUUGGGAGGAAGGGCAGUAAGUUAAUACCUUGCUGUUUUGACGUUACCAACAGAAUAAGCACCGGCUAACUUCGUG